AUUCAUCUUCGGGGCAGGGUGUAAUUCCCGACCGGCGGAAAUGGAAAGUGAUUUUCCUAGCCCGCGAGCGUAACAGCUGAUUCCGGUGAGAUUCCGGAGCCGACAGUAUAGUCUGGAUGGGAGAAGGUGAAG
rnacentral:ncRNA from 2 species